UAGGUUGUUGCCGCUGGAGUUAUGAUUAUUGGAAGAGUUCCCUGAUCCUGAUGUCAAGUCACAUUCGUUACAAUCUGAUUCACAUUCGAACCAAAGAAAAUGCUUCUCGAUCCUUCUCCUCUACUCUCAGCUUCAGAUUUAAAAAAAGAACAUGAACACAUUCAUGAGGUACACUGCUCCAGGGAAAGAAGUAGGGCGGCAUGGAAAAUUGUCGAAAAGGUAGUUGGAGUUGCAGAUGCUGCAACUAAGGUGCAUAUAUGGAUUUCGCUUUCUAUGCCAAUUGUCUUCGUGCCGAGGUGUGUAUGAAGGUUCAUAUUACUUAAGGAGAUCAUGAAGGAAAAGCAAUAAUUGUUUCAUCGGUAACAAUGGAGGAACCAGGUUCUGAUAAGGUUAAGUAUCAUAAUUAUACUUCUGGGUAUAUUCAUCAUUGUACCCUCAGAAAUUUGAAGGUAAGAUUUUGAAGGUGUUUUAUUGAUUCAGUACUUCUGUAUGUAUUAGAAAUUGGUGCAGUUUUUAGUGUCUGUUACCUGUAAAUAUAUACUUGCUGAGAGAGUCUUCGGUUACUAAUACUGUUACCUAAUUCGAUAAUCCCCUGCGAACUACUCCUAAACAUAUUAAUUGGUACAGUGGAAGUGUGGAACACUUUUGUUGUAGUUUUUAGUGUCUGCUGGUUGUAUGUCAAUAUAUGUUUGCUGAAAGUCUUGAAUCACUAACAGUAAUUCGCUAAUCCUGCGAAUUGUUAAGGCAAAUUGUUACAGUGUAACAUUUUUGGUGCAGUAUUUGGUGUCUAAUGCUACCUGUCUGUAAAUAUCUUUGCUGAAAUGCUUUUGAUUUCUUGAUGCUUCAACUUCCAGUUUUCUAUCUGAAGAAAAUAAAGAAGUAUUUGUUACUGGAGUUUCUAAUGCUACCAGUUUUCUACAUAAACCAAGGGAUAUUUUAGUAGUCUGAGGCUGUUUUUGCAUAGAAGAUUUUUGCGGGAAUUCAGGAGGUAAUCUGGAGCCAACACCCCUGCAGAGGAGUUCUGCAGAAAUAGGGCACGAGGAUCGGAUUCAUUUGUCAUUGUUGAACUGAUAUAGCUGAUGCUUUUUUGGAGCAUCGGCCUUAUUUGUUGUCUCUUGAAUGGUGUUAUAUAUAUGUAAAAUGGUGUAUAUAUAUGUUCAAUACUACUUAAAAUCCACAUAGAUUAUGUAUUAUAUGUGUAGUUUCUUUACUUUGAUAAUACAAUUUAGAUUCUUUUUGUCAUGUAAG